rnacentral:rRNA from 1 species
AGAUGGCGACCGGCGCACGGGUGAGUAACACGUAUCCAACCUGCCGAUGACUCGGGGAUAGCCUUUCGAAAGAAAGAUUAAUACCCGAUGGCAUAGUUCUUCCGCAUGGUGGAACUAUUAAAGAAUUUCGGUCAUCGAUGGGGAUGCGUUCCAUUAGGUUGUUGGCGGGGUAACGGCCCACCAAGCCUUCGAUGGAUAGGGGUUCUGAGAGGAAGGUCCCCCACAUUGGACUGAGACACGGCCAAACUCCUACGGGAGGCAGCAUG